UGGAUAGCUCCAUCACUGGGACCAGAAGUACUGUCCGGUCUGCCACCACAUCUUCAUCCUCUUCAUCCAUCCACCAUCAAGACAACCUUCACAUCGGACGUCACAGUGCGCCUGGAGUCCAUUUGACUUGACAUUGGUUGUGCACAGAAGGGUGGACAAGAAGCAGGAAGACAAAGGCAGGAGUGGACAUGAACCUCGGCACGUCCUGGUUUUUAUGUUUGGACCAACUCGUCACUGAGGUAAUAUUGGCAGCAUGAAUGCAUCACCUGCUUGAUGGCAACGCGUCGCACCACAGUAUCUAAAGUGACAACGUAGCGCAGACCCUGGUGCGGAGGGAGGUCUGUCCUCAGCGUGCCUUUGUGCCUGUGAACAACACGCCGGUGCUUUGCAUUGAUCUGUUGCCCGGUGAUAGUACAACUUCCCAUCGAUCGGCUGAACUUGUCGUUGCGCUCAUCAUGUGCGUCCGAGCAGAAGAGCGGAGUCAGAGGGUGUGAAUCGGCGGAGGAUGAGAUUCAUCAUGUUGUCCUUGACAGUGAAGAAGCUACAUGCACUGGUGGGAAGACCACUGGCUGACGUGGUAUACUUAAGUAAAAGUAACAAUAAUACACUUGAAAAAAAGGACUUCAGGCAAUGGAUAGAUGCAUUGUUACAGUUGGUAAGAUAUUCCUGAAACUAAACCCCUUUGUGAUGCUUUAUUCGAUUGGUCAGCAAUAGCCAUUCAAAGUAUUUACCUCUUGAUAUAGUUGUUUUCAUUGUUCGUGUUGAGGUAAACUAUCCCACUCACUGCAUAUUACGGUUCCAUCUCGUAGCACCUUAGCAUGUCAAGUUACCGCUAAUGCAACACAACCAUUUCCUUCUCCCAUUUAAAGCGUUCAAAUGGUGGAAGUGCUCAUUAUGGAGCAGAGCGUCUUGUAUCAUUAUUAUAUUAUCGGAUUGUUAUCAAUGAUGAA